CAGGUUUCUAUUGGAGCAUCAUAAGCGGUCGAUCCCCAAAGACACGUGGAACCUGCUACUGGACUUUGGCAACAUGAUCGCAGACGACAUGUCCAACUACGACGAGGAAGGAGCUUGGCCUGUCCUCAUAGACGACUUUGUGGAAUUUGCCCGGCCAAUCGUGACAGGGGGCAAGCGUAAAACCAUAUAGGUCAUACCCAGUUCCCAGCAGGGGCUGGCGAUUUUAUACACACCAGCCAAAAAGAGACUUCUACAAGACUGUCCAAGUUUGUGAGACUGAGCUGCCAAUCAGGGGCCGGGGAGCGACAUGACAGCCAAUCGGAGAGAAGGAAAACAACAACAGGAAGAGGAAGUUAUCCUUUUCUUUGUUUUGAGACUGAGUCACUCCGGGAGGCGGGCUGUUAGCAGGGGGUGGGAUCGUCGCGGAGCUAUGAGCUCUGCUCCCAUUGGCUGGCUGGAUCAGACUGAUCGGCCAACGACUACAGUACCCAAACACCAGCCACCAUCAGAUCAGUGGGCGUGUCUGUAGAUUCUAGAACUGGUGCUCUGGUCCCACCCCCCCUAGCUGCAGCCCCCCCCAACCCCGCCCCCUCCUUACUAAAGAACGACCAGGGAGAGCAAACAGAACGGCAGAGAGGGGCGGACGGUUUGCUCUCUGCAGCAGACAGACAGAAUGGUGUGAUAUUUGAUCCAGUGGAGGCUGCAGAGAGGAGGACGGCUCAUCAUAAUGGCUGGAACGGAGCAAACGGAAUGUUAUCAAACACCUGGAAACCAUGGAAAACAUGUGUUUGAUGUAUUUGAUACCAUUCCACUGAUUCCGAUCUAGUCAUUACCACGAACAUGUCCUCCCCAAUUAAGGUGCCACCAACCUCCUGUGGUCUGAACCCACAGUAGUAAGACGUGUCCUCUCUGCCGGCCCAUUGGUGGAUGAACUAGGAGCUCGGAGGUUCUGCAUGUGUUUCUGGUUGAGCGUUAAGCGGCUGGACGGAGGAACAACAACUACUUUUUUUAUUAUUAUCAUUGAGUUUCUUCUCAUCAGAGGUGAGGGGUGUGGUCGUCAUCCAAUGUUCUCAUCCAAUCCAACGUCAGUGUAAUGUUCUGCUUCCAUUUCAAUCUAAAGUGUAAAAGUUGGGUCAGUUUUGUUGUUAAUAUGUGUGAGGUUCAGGGUCUAUAUCCACAAGGCGUCUGAGAGUACGAGUGCUGACCUGGGAUCAGUUUAGCCUUUUGGAUCAUAAUGAAUACUAGAGAGAGGACCAGAUCCUAGUGCUGAUCUGGGAUCAGGUUAGCCUUUUAGAUCAUAAUGAAUACUAGAGAGAGGACCAGAUCCUAGUGCUGAUCUGGGAUCAGUUUAGCCUUUUAGAUCAUAAUGAAUACUAGAGAGAGGACCAGAUCCUAGUGCUGAUCUGGGAUCAGGUUAGCCUUUUAGAUCAUAGUGAGUGAGAGGACCAGAGAGGACCAGAUCCUAGUGCUGAUCUAGGAUCAGGUUAGUCUUUUAGAUCAUAGUGAGUGAGAGGACCAGAGAGGACCUACUCUGAGACGCUUUAGGAAUACAGGCCCAGUUCAGAUCCACUCUGGUAUUCAGAUAGAACCGAACCGACCGACAGAGCAGCAUGCUUUUAAAGCUCAACACCAGCAGAAAUACUAUUGCUCCAGUUGGAACAGACUGUGACCAUAGGAUUCAUGUGUUAGAUAUACCAUUUUAGAAUAAUGAAUAUGAUACAAUAUAAAGACGACACAAUGACAUUUAUAAUCGUGAGAGAGAGGACGAAGUAUUUGAAAUGCGUACGAGGUCCACAGAUUUCUAGGCCGUGUCCCAAACUGUACCCCAUUCCCUGUAUAGUACUGGUAAAAAAAGUAGUGCUCUAUAUAGGGAACAGGUUUGCCCAUUUGGGAUGUGCCAUGUCUCCAAGCUUUCUGUUUGAUUUGAGUUUGUUUGUUUGGGGUGUAAAUGUUCACAUCACCAGAGACCUUGACUGUUGGUCUGGCAGUUGUUUUAUUUUCACAAGCAACGCACAGGAAGUUGAAUCUAUGAAUCGUAUUCAGUCUACAACACUGUUCAUUGUUGAAUCUAUGAAUCAUAUUCAGUCUACAACAUUGUAUAUAGUUGAAUCUAUGAAUCGUAUUCAGUCUACAACACUGUAUAUAGUUCAUAGUUGAAUCUAUGAAUCGUAUUCAGUCUACAACACUGUAUAUAGUUCAUAGUUGAAUCUAUGAAUCGUAUUCAGUCUACAACACUGUAUGUAGUUCAUAGUUGAAUCUAUGAAUCGUAUUCAGUCUACAACACUGUAUAUAGUUCAUAGUUGAAUCUAUGAAUCGUAUUCAGUCUACAACACUGUAUAUAGUUCAUAGUUGAAUCUAUGAAUCGUAUUCAGUCUACAACACUGUAUGUAGUUCAUAGUUGUAUACUGAAUACGAUUCAUAGAUUCAACACUGUAUAUAGUUCAUUGUUGAAUCUAUGAAUCAUAUUCAGUCUACAACACUGUAUAUAGUUCAUAGUUGAAUCUAUGAAUCGUAUUCAGUCUACAACACUGUAUAUAGUUCAUAGUUGAAUCUAUGAAUCGUAUUCAGUCUACAACACUGUAUGUAGUUCAUAGUUGUAUACUGAAUACGAUUCAUAGAUUCAACACUGUAUAUAGUUUGUAGUUGAAUCUAUGAAUCGUAUUCAGUCUACAACACUGUAUAUAGUUCAUUGUUGAAUCAAUGAAUCGUAUUCAGUCUAUAACACUGUAUAUAGUUCAUAGUUGAAUCUAUGAAUCGUAUUCAGUCUACAACACUGUAUAUAGUUCGUAGUUGAAUCUAUGAAUCGUAUUCAGUCUACAACACUGUAUAUAGUUCGUAGUUGAAUCUAUGAAUCGUAUUCAGUCUACAACACUGUAUAUAGUUCGUAGUUGAAUCUAUGAAUCGUAUUCAGUCUACAACACUGUAUAUAGUUCAUAGUUGAAUCUAUGAAUCGUAUUCAGUCUACAACACUGUAUAUAGUUCAUAGUUGAAUCUAUGAAUCGUAUUCAGUCUACAACACUGUAUAUAGUUUGUAGUUGGAAGAGAGAGAGAGAUACGUCCUCUGAGCCUCCUACACUCAGGUACGCGCUGAGAGAGUGUCCAAUGUGUUGACGUGUAUCGACAGGAGAAGACAGAGACUAUGGAAGAGAGAGAGAGAGACGUCCUCUGAGCCUCCUACACUCAGGUACGCGCUGAGAGAGUGUCCAAUGUGUUGAUGUGUAUCGACAGGAGAAGACAGAGACUAUGGAAGAGAGAGAGACGUCCUCUGAGCCUCCUACACUCAGGUACACGCUGAGAGAGUGUCCAAUGUGUUGACGUGUAUCGACAGGAGAAGACAGAGACUAUGGAAGAAAGAGAGAGACGUCCUCUGAGCCUCCUACACUCAGGUACGCGCUGAGAGAGUGUCCAAUGUGUUGACUGUCUGAGCUUUACUCAUAUUCACUAUUAUUUUCACUGAGAGAAAAGAAAAAGCAUUUAAAACAUUUGUCAUCGUUCUGCUAUGGAGACGUUCUACAUGACUUUGUUUUGGCAACGGAAGGUCCCGUCAAUAAAGCAUGUUGUUUUUAACAAAAAAUGGAA